GACGAACGCUGGCGGCGUGCUUAACACAUGCAAGUCGAGCGGUAAGGCCCUUUCGGGGGUACACGAGCGGCGAACGGGUGAGUAACACGUGGGUGACCUGCCCUCAGCUCUGGGAUAAGCCUGGGAAACCGGGUCUAAUACUGGAUAUGACUCCAUGACGCAUGUUGUGGGGUGGAAAGCCUUGUGCGGCUGAGGAUGGGCCCGCGGCCUAUCAGCUUGUUGGUGGGGNGAUGGCCUACCAAGGCGACGACGGGUAGCCGGCCUGAGAGGGCGACCGGCCACACUGGGACUGAGACACGGCCCA
rnacentral:rRNA from 1 species